rnacentral:rRNA from 1 species
CCUCCUAUUGCCUCGUACGGCGAGUGAAGCGGCAAAAGCUCAAAUUUGAAAUCUAGCACUUUCAGUGUUCGAGUUGUAAUUUGAAGAAGGUAACUUUGGUUUUGGCUCUUGUCUAUGUUCCUUGGAACAGGACGUCACAGAGGGUGAGAAUCCCGUGCGAUGAGAUGCCCAAUUCCAUGUAAAGUGCUUUCGAAGAGUCGAGUUGUUUGGGAAUGCAGCUCUAAGUGGGUGGUAAAUUCCAUCUAAAGCUAAAUAUUGGCGAGAGACCGAUAGCGAACAAGUACAGUGAUGGAAAGAUGAAAAGAACUUUGAAAAGAGAGUGAAAAAGUACGUGAAAUUGUUGAAAGGGAAGGGCUUGAGAUCAGACUUGGUAUUUUGCGUUCCCUUCCUUUUUGGUUGGGUUCCUCGCAGUUUACUGGGCCAGCAUCGGUUUGGAUGGUAGGAUAAUGACAUUGGAAUGUAGCUUUACUUCGGUGAAGUGUUAUAGACUUUGUUGAUACUGCCUAUCUAGACCGAGGACUGCGUCUUUGACUAGGAUGCUGGCGUAAUGAUCUUAAGCCGCCCGUCUUG